GAAUAUAACUAACUUCCUUCCUUCCUGCCUUCCUCCCUCCCUGCCUUCCCUUCCUUCCUGCCUUCCUUCUUCCUUCCUCCCUUUUUUCUUUUCUCCCUUCCUUCCUUCUUAAUAUGUUUUUGGCCUUUUCUUUAUAUAUGUGGCCUAGCAAUAUCCUGUGUUUGGAAAAGUAUAAACCUAAGGCAUCACCUUUACAGAAAAUAUCUUCCACGGAAACAUCUAAAGGCAAAAAUCCUUCAAAUUCAAAUUUAUCCAAUCAUUUCUUCUGCUUACUACCAUCCUAAAUCAUUUUUCUUUAGUAAGAUCUAUUAGUGUGAAGCUAUUAAGCUAUUAAUGUAUGUAUCAUAUUAAUGUAUUAAGACAUUAAGUGAGGAAGUAAAGUUGCAUUCACAGGCCUUGAACUUUUCCACAUCUCGAUUUUUACCCAUCAUCUCUGCAUAGUUCCCUAAGGCAGCCUUCAAAUGGUGAUGUUUCUUAUAAUCCAGAGUUCAGAAGUGGCUUCUCUUCAAUCUUUCUGUGGAAUUCUAAACCACGUGAUAAAGGAGCUGGUGGUGAGAAAUAAGGGAAGGCAGAGAUGAAAAGGAAUGGGCAGAAGCUUUUGGAGAGGAAUAACCACUGAGAUUGCCAUGAAGGAUUCAUUCUGACAUUCUUUUCAUGUAUUUAAGGCAAUCAAAAAAGAAUCCACAGCUAACCACGCCACAGAUCAGCCCUGGGGUUCAGAGGGAUCCUGACAGCUACUCCUCAAGAUCCUCUCUGUUGUGAUUCAUCCCCCCGGGGCCCUACAGUUUCUCCUUCCUGACUCUUACAUUUCUUUGGAUGGCAUCAUUAUUUACCUGUCUCCUCCCAUAGUUAGGUGCCAAGCACUGUGGAUUCUGCCUCUCAGUGUCCAGACACCCAUU
rnacentral:lncRNA from 10 species